rnacentral:lncRNA from 1 species
ACACAAUGACACAGAUCCCAAAGGCGAGCAGUUAACAAAUACAUCCACUUGUCCACCAAUCACAAGGGAUCCAUUGAGUGAGCCACUGCAACAAACAGGAACCCCUUCAAAGAGCUUCCAGUCUGGUGGGACCAACUACAUAAUCCUUGGUAAGAAAAGGAGGUGGCCCUGACAAGUGCAACUCGAGAAAUGCAAUGCUGUAGAGUCCAAAGGUGUCUGACUUGAACGAAAUGAUCCCACUGGGGGACAAUGCAACAUAUACUCCAGGUAAGCAUAGUGGAAAACAUAUUGGACUUAGAUUCAAACACACCUGAACCUGUAACUUAUGAGCCAGGUGACCUUGGGGGUGAACUGGAACUUACACCUUGCUUCUCCUGUUCUCAGGAGACUUGGACUGGAACUAUACCACCAGCUGUCUCGGAUCUCCGGCUUGCAGACGGCACAUCAUGGGACUUCUCAGUCUCCAUCACUGCAUGAGCCAAUUCCUUAUAAUAAAUCUCUGUCUCUCUCAUUAUACAUAUCUUGGAGAACCCUCAGGAACCUUGACUAAUACACAAGAUAAAUUCAGUUUUAAUUGUAUGUGAGGCAUUGUGGUGGAGAUAUAUACUAGAUACCCACACGCAAGUGGGCAAAGGUCUGGGAUCAAAAUAUCUAUUUGGGAAUCUUCAGCAUAUGGGUGAUAGUUGAAAUCAUAAAAGUGGUUGAACUCUUCUGGGACUCUCAUAUAUUGUAAUAGGAUGAACGGCAGAAAGAACAGAUACAGAUACAUGUAGGUUGGUUAAUCUGAUGGUUGGAAUGUGGACUUCGUAUUCGAUGUACUUGGUGUGUGUGUCUUUGUUUAUAAUGAAGUCAAUUACUCAGUAAUGUGCAUAUAAUAAAUUCCGUAGUGUGUGUGGUUCAGUCACUCUACUAGUUUUUAAAACUGUUCCGCUAAAGCUCUCAGUUGAAAGAACCCAUGGUGGUGUUGUUAUACAUAAAUAUCUUUACUUGAUAGACCUCAUUGACUACAGUCAGGAUUCUGGUAGAUAAAUUGGGCAGAUGAGAUGACCUCCCAACCCUUCUCUGGUGCUUUCUGAAUAAGGCCUGUGUUUGUCUGGCUGUACCAUACAUUUUAUUUUCUCUUUCAUUCAUUUCUAAGCCUCAGCAACAACCCCCUUCUCCAACACCUUGAUAUAAAUUGCCUUCAAACUCUAAUAGAACUUGAGAAUGUUGAUAACCUCAAACUAUGGUAUCCUGAUGUUUCCAUAGUAACUAAUGCACACCAAGGGGGAAAAGAUGCGAGAAUAAAUGAGAAUAGCAUUUUAACAAAAUAAGUGAGGGGCAAAGAGGCUUUAGACAUGUUAUUACCUCUUGUUUAGGAAUAUGAAAAUAUUCAUCUCCUUAAUAAUGGGGUUAUAAAAGUUGCUACAAUGAGACUUGUCAGUAGCCAUUUAUAUUUCAUUUUUCUCUAUAAUCAUCAUCAUCAAAAGCAUUUAAAUGCUUCUCUGCCCAACAAUACUGUAGAGAGUGAGUUAAAUGGACAUAGUUGCCAUUUUCCUGUGAACCUGCAAUCACAAUAGGACAGGGUAGGCCAAUGUCUGUAUUCCAGUCUCCCCAGCAGAGUUUUGACCUAGUGGAUAUUAGGAGGAAUGGGGAUUCAAAGAAGACAAAUCAGUGUUGUGGCAUUUGUUUGCUUUGAUACAAGACUUUACUAGCAUCUCAGCACUUCCUUGGUUAAAGGGUGGGAGAAUAGGGUGCUGCUGUUUCUUCUUUCCUAUUUCAUAAAAAGGAGGCUUUCUGUAAGCCAGGAAGAGAGCACUCUCAAGUAAUCAAAUUGGCUGGCACCUUGAUCUGGGACUUCCAGUCUCCAGAACUCUGAGAAAAUACAUUUGCGUUGUUUAAGCCAGUGAGUCUGUGGUAUUUUGUUAUGGCAGCCUGAGCAGCCUAUACACCGGUCAGUGUACAUGCACAACCGAUUAAGCUAUUGUUAGAUAGGAAUAGAUUUAGUAAGGGUGAAGAGAAGACUUUUUAUUUUAUGUAUUUGUUUGAGACAGAGUCUCUCUGUCAUCCAGGAUGGAGUGCAGUGGUGUGAUCAUGGCUCACAUCAGCCUUGACCUUCCAGGCUCAAGUGAUCCUCCCACCUCAGUCUCCUGAGUAGCUGGGACCACAGGCAUGUGCCACCAUGCCUGGCAAAUUUUUGUAUUCUUUGUAGAGAUGGGGUUUCACCAUGUUGCCCAGGCUGGUCUUGAACUCCCUCUUGCCUUGACCUCCUAAAGUGUUGGGAUUAUAGGUGUGAGCCACCAUGCCCGGCCUAAUAUUUUUAUUUUAGAAUUAGAGAGAUUAGGCCAGGCACAGUGGCUCACGCCUGUAAUCCCAGUACUUUGAGAGGCCGAGGUGGGUGGAUCACUUGAGGUCAGGAGUUCGAGACCAGCCUGACCAACAUGGUGAAACCCUGUCUCUACUAAAAAUACAAAAAUUAGCCAGGUGUGGUGGUACGUGCCUGUAAUCCCAGCUACUCAGGAGGCUGAGGCAGAAGAAUUGCUUGAACCCGGGAGGUGGAGGUUGCAGUGAGCCGAGAUCACGCUAUUGCAUUCCAGCCUGGAUGACAGAGUGAGACUCUGUCUCAAAAAAAAAAAAAAAAAAUUAGAGAGAUUAAAUUUCCACAGAUAAGUGUAAUAACUGGUGGGGUAUCUAUCUAACCCAGAACAGAAACACAGAAAGUAGAGGGACAGAAAGUAUACUGAACAGCUCCAGGUAAGGUAGAUAGCAUGGCUGGGAUUCCGCUUAACCUGAUACUUUCCCCAUUUAGAAGAGAAAGGUUAAAAAGCACAUUCUUCUUCUUUGUCUUCUUUUUUUUUUCAUACUCAUAUCACCUUUUGAAAAUUAGUCUUCAGUUUAGCUUUUGUGCAAUGAAUUCAGAGGUUAGAAGCAAGAUGUUUUGGGAGGUAGGGUGAGGCUCAUCAGUGAGAAUGAAAGCCAAUUUCCUAGACUUGCCUGGGGAAGGUAUAUUAGAACGGGGGCCAUUUGUUCUCAAUGUUCAACUCCCACUUAUGAGUGAGAACAUGCAGUGUUUGGUUUUCUUUUCCUGUGUUAGUUUGCUGAAGAUGAUGGCUUCCAGCUUCAUUCAUAUCCCAGCCAAGGACAUGAUCUCAUUCCUUUUUAUGGCUGCGUAGUAUUCCAUGGUGUAUAUGUACCACAUUUUCUUUAUCCAGUCUAUAAUUGAUGGGCAUUUGGGUUGGUUCCACAAACCUGCACGUUCUGCACAUGUAUCCCAUUUUUUUUUAGAAGAAAUAAAGAAAAAAGAAAAGAAAAGAAAAAAAAGAAUGGGGACCAUUUAUCUUGGAUGGCCAGAGGUUUGGUAGACAUCCUCAAGUUUAGACAGGCCUUAGAGUUCAGAUGAAAAAGGAGUGUAUCUUCAUAUUAGAGGCUCAGUUUGGACAAGGGAAAUUUCAGUGUGUGUGUGUGUGUGUGUGUGUGUGUUUAAAAUUUGUGAAAUUUGAUCUUACAGUCACUGGGAGAAGGCAGAAAUUUUGAGGAAAAGGAGUCCUCAAUAAAGC